rnacentral:rRNA from 1 species
UACGUAGGCAGCAAGCGUUGUUCGGAAUUACUGGGCGUAAAGCGUGCGCAGGCGGUUUUGUAAGCCAGAUGUGAAAUCCCCGGGCUUAACCUGGGAACUGCAUUUGUGACUGCAAAGCUGGAGUGCGGCAGAGGGGGAUGGAAUUCCGCGUGUAGCAGUGAAAUGCGUAGAUAUGCGGAGGAACACCGAUGGCGAAGGCAGCCCCCUGGGCUAAGAUUGACGCUCAUGCACGAAAGCGUGGGGAGCAAACAGG